GAGGUGUAUUACCACGAGAGAGGGGGUAGUCUGAGUUUGUCAAAUGACUUGAGAGGUGUAAUAUAAGUCACAAGUGAAAUACCACUACUUUUAACGUUAUUUUAUUUACUUUGUAAGGUGGAAGUUGGGCUUUGCCCCUUCUUCUAGUUUUAAGGCAAGCAACUUAUUGGCUGAUCUAGGCAGAUGACAUUUUUAGAUGGGGAGUUUGGCUGGGGCGGCACAUCAGUUAAAAGAUAAUAUAGGUGUCCUAAGAUGAGCUUAAUGAGAAUAGGAAUCUUAUGUGGAACAAAAGGGUAAAAACUCAUUUGAUUUUGAUCUUCAAUUUAGAUACAAACUGUGAAAGUAUAAACUAUCAAUCCUUUAGUAUUUCUAAGUUUGAAGCUAGAUGUGUCAAAAAAGUUACUAUAGGGAUAAUUGGCUUGUGGCAACUAAGUGUUCAUAGCGAUGUUGCUUUUUGAUCCUUUGAUGUCAUUGUGAAGCAAAAUUUACCAAGUGUUGGAUUGUUCACCCACCAAUAGGGAACAUGAGCUGGGUUUAGAGAAUUGUGAGAUAGGUUAGUUAUACCCUAC
rnacentral:ncRNA from 1 species